rnacentral:rRNA from 1 species
CCUACGGGUGGCAGCAGUGGGGAAUAUUGGACAAUGGGGGGAACCCUGAUCCAGCCAUGCCGCGUGUGUGAAGAAGGCCCUCGGGUUGUAAAGCACUUUCAGUGAGGAAGAACGCCUGGUGGUUAAUACCCAUCAGGAAAGACAUCACUCACAGAAGAAGCACCGGCUAACUCCGUGCCAGCAGCCGCGGUAAUACGGAGGGUGCGAGCGUUAAUCGGAAUUACUGGGCGUAAAGCGCGCGUAGGUGGCUUGAUAAGCCGGUUGUGAAAGCCCCGGGCUCAACCUGGGAACGGCAUCCGGAACUGUCAAGCUAGAGUGCAGGAGAUGAAGGUAGAAUUCCCGGUGUAGCGGUGAAAUGCGUAGAGAUCGGGAGGAAUACCAGUGGCGAAGGCGGCCUUCUGGACUGACACUGACACUGAGGUGCGAAAGCGUGGGUAGCAAACAGGAUUAGAUACCCCAGUAGUC